UCGUAUAAGAAUCACAGUUCUUUAUGAUGUAUAUGCUAUUUUUUGCUGCUAAUCUCCAGAUUUUGUGGAUAUAAAAUAUAUUCUGUCAUCUGAUUUUAUUUUUUUCCAAUAAAAUGUGAUUUCAGUGAUCUUUAUUUUUUCUAUCUUUAACUAAUAUAUCCCUAUACUACUAUCUCAUCACUUAUUUAAUUUUUGCUAAUAAGAAUUUGUCAGUUUUACUCUUUGUUUUUUCCCCCAAGGGAGAGGCAGCUGUUCGGCAGAUUCCUUUUUUUUUAAAAAAAAAAAAAAAAGUUUUUGAGGUAUAGUUUAUGUCCAAUAAAACGCACACAUUUAAAAGCAUACCUUGAUAGGCUGUGGUAAAUGUACACGCCUUUGUGGCCAGACCAUUUUCAUCACCCCAGGAAGUUCCUCUUGGCUUUACAGUCAUUGCUCAUGUCCUAGGUAAUCACUGAUCUUGUUUCUACCACUAUAGAUUUAUGUUGCCUCUUCUAGAACUUUGUAUAAAUGGAUACAUGCAGUCUAUUUUUUGUGUCUGGCUUUUGCUCGGUAUAAUGUGUUGAGAUUAAUUCUGUUGCACAUAUCAGUAAUUUGUUUCUUUUUAUUGCUGAGUAGUAUCUUGUAUGAUAAUACUACAACUUGUUAAUCCAUUCACCUUGGGUGGACAUUGGGAUUGUAUCAAGUCUUGGGCUAUUAGGAAUACAACUGCUGUGAAUAUUCUUGUACAAGUCAUUUUGUGGACAUUUUUUCCCUUUUGGGUAAAUACCAGAUACAUUUGCCGAGUCAUAGAGUAAGUGUGUAACUGUGUAAGACACUGUCAAACCGUUUUCCAUAGUAGCUGUAGCAUUUUACAUAGCCAUCGGUACUACUUAUGAGAUUCCAGUUGCUCCACAUCCUUGCUAGAUAUUGUCAGUCUUUCAAGUUUUUUUCUUUUUAGUUACAUUGACUGUAUAAUGGUAGCUCAUGGUGGUUUUACUUUCCAUUUCCCUCAUGUACAUGUCUUAAUUCAUUGUACAUCUUUAGUGUGUUUAUUGGUUAUUUUUAUAUCUUUUGUGAAGAGUAUCUUUUGGCCACUUAAAAAAAAUGCCAGGUCAUUUGAGUUGUAACACUUUAUAUAUUUUGGAUAUAAGUCCUUUGUCAGAUGUAAGUAUAAUUAAUAUUUUUUUUAGACUUCAGGGAAACUUUAGUUUUCAAAGCAAUCUAGUUCAAAAAUGAGUGGAGGUUAACAGAGAAGAAAGAAUAUGAAACCAGAGAGACAGAAUCAGACAGACAGAAUAAGGGGGGACUGGCAGCUGGUCAGGGGCGUCUGUGACAGAUCUUCUCUCUCUUGGAAAUGAGGUCCUCACCGAUUCUGGUCAGUUCAUCAUUUUCUUCACGUCCACAGUUCUGCUCCUUCCUCAGGCUCUCCUCGAAGGCCAAGACCUCUGUGGCUCCAACUUGAGUGAAUAUUUUCUUUAGGUUUCUGGUUUACCUUUUUAUUUUCUGAAGCAUCUUUUUAAAAAAGGCUUCAGUGUGAUUGUCUAUUCUAUCGAUUUUUCUCCUUUUUUGCUUAAUGCUUAUUUUCUGUCCAAGACAUAUUUUGCCUACCGUGGCCACAAAAAUUUUUGCCAGUGUUUUUUCCUAGAAGUUUUAUAGUUUUAAUUUUCACAUUUAGGUCUAUAAUUCAUGUAGAAUUAAUUUCUCUGUGUAUGGUGUAAGAUAGAGAUUUAGAUUCUUCCCCACCCCCAAUGCAGAUAGCGUGUUGUUUGAACAUCAUUUGUUGAAAAGAGUAUUUUUAUUCCUUUGAAUUACCUUGGAUUUUGCCGCCUCCCCCCCAAAAAAUCAGUGAAUAUAUCCAAUGCGUGUGUAUUUUUUGACUCCAUUGUGUUCCAUUGACCUCUUAUGUCUGUCUUUACUCCAGUACUACAUUGUCUUCCCUUACUAUAUUAUAGUGAGUCUUGGAAAGUGCUAAGAGACACUUUGUUGAGGAAAGCCUGUUCUUUUCUCUGUAAUUUGUAAUUUGUGGUAAGCAGAUAUAUAAGAUUUUUGAAAAAUAAUUUUCUGUGAAUAUUUUUAAGUUCUUAAUCUGACUGUGAGUGAGGUGCAUUAAAGAUGUUAUUUGAAGUGAACGUGAAAAGGAAAAACUUGGUUAUUAUUGACUGGAACUCUGGAUUCGUAUAUUCAGAAUGGUUGGUGAAGCAGUGUAGCUAGUUGCAUCUGUGGAUUCCUGUUGGUUGUAGUUUGUACUGCAAAAUAUUGCUUCCUAAUGAUUUUUUUUGUUUUGGUGGUAAAAACCAUAAAAGUAUAUUCACAUUGUUGUGAAACAGAUUGCCGAAACUGUUUCAUCUUGCAAAACUGAACCUCUGUGGCCAUUAAACAACAGUUCCCUUUCCCUCAGCCCUGGUAACCACCAUUCUGCUUUCUGUUCCUGUGAACUUGACGUCAUGUAAGUGGAAUCAUAAAGUGUUACCUUUUUCCUUUUUAUGACUGGCUUAUUUCAUUGACGUAGUAUGUGACAGGAUUUCCAUUUUUAAAAGCUAAUUGAUAGUCCAUUGUGUGUCUGUUCCACCCCCCCUCCCCCAUUUUGUUUAUCAGUUCAUCUCUGGGUGGAUAUUUGUGUUGUUUCCACUUCUUGGCUCUUGUGAUUAAUGCUGCUGUGAACAUGGGUGUGCAGAUGUCUCUUGCAGUCUGUGCUUUCAAUUUUUUGGGAUAUAUACCCAGAAGUAGGAUUGCUGGAUCAUAUGAUAGUUUAAACAGUAAUUUCCUUUGGUUGCAGUUUUGAUAUUGAGAGUAGUACAGCUGACCCUUGAACAAUGCAGGGUCAAAAUGCAAGGCACCAACCCCUGUGCAGUUGAAAAUCUGGUUAUAACUUUUGACUUCAUCAAAACUGCUAAGUAUAGCCUACUGUUGACUGGUAGCCUUAACGGUAACAUAAACAGUUAACAUAUCUAUUGUAUGUUAUAUGUACUGUAUACUGUAUUCUUACAAUAAAGUAAGCUAGAGAAAAGGAAAUAUUACUAAGAAAAUCAUAAGGGAGAAAAAAUACAUUUUACUGUACUGUAUGGUGUUUAUCAAUAACAUUAGUUGUCUGUUUAUAAGAUAUGUCAUCUGUUAAUAAGAUAUGUCAUCUGUUAGAAAUUGUAGGCAACCACAGCUGCAGAUUUCAGUCCGUGGUACAUAUCAAGCAAUUCAACUUUUAUUUUUUUAUUUUUAUUUGUAUUUUUUUGCAUUUAAAAUUAAAGACAGGAUCUUGCUGUGUUGCCCAGAUUGGAUUCAAGUGAUCCUCUGGCCUCAGCCUCCUGAGUAGCUGGGAUCAUAGGCAUGCACCACUGCUUCUGGCAGUUUUUUUCUUGUGAUGUCAUGCCUUCUCUCUGCUUCUUGGGAGCACUUUCAACAUCACUAGGGGCACUUUGUAUAGGACUCAUGGUGUUAUUUAAAGUUUAUGGUAUUGCACUAAUCAUGAUGAAAAUGUGAAAACCGUGAGAGAUCACUUUUUACUGCAGUAUGCAAUUUGUUGGAGACAUGAACUGCUCAGCAGAGAUGAUUAGCAUCACAUGGUGUUUUACACAAGGUGUUUUAAGCAGAUAUUUGUAACAUUUGAGCACACUGAGAUAGCAACAGGAAGUGGCUAUGAAGUUAACACUAGUACACUACUGCAGUUAAUUUUAUGCAGUUAUGAAUUAAUACUCCAUCUUUGUUUACAUUUCUCUCUACUGCUUCCCGUGUGCAUAAGUUUUGAUACAUUUUAACUUCAUAUAAUAGAUUUGUAUGUUUUAUGAUAGUAAAUGAUAAAAUAACCUCAUAUCUAGGUAUGUUUUAUGCAUUCAUGACUUACCUAACUUUUUCUUAAUGUUUUCGUUAUUUCUAGGCUAUGCAGUUGUUUUGUGAGUUUUUUCAAAUUGUCAAGUCUGCAAAAAUUUUUCCAGUAUAUUUAUUGAAAAAAAUAUGCAUAUAAGUGGGACCUGCACAGUUCAGAGCCGUGUUGUUCAAGGGUCAGCAGUAGUCAUUUCAUGAUUAGAUGUAGAGUGAGCAUGCAGCAAGUUGUGAAUAUGAAUAUAAUUGAAACAGAUAACCACUCUUGAAAGGAGCACCUCUUUUUAUGUUUGUUUCUUUUGCAGAUUGGGAAAAUGAGGUACGUUAGUGUUCGCGAUUUUAAAGGCAAAGUGCUAAUUGAUAUUAGAGAAUAUUGGAUGGAUCCUGAAGGUGAAAUGAAACCAGGAAGAAAAGGUAUUUCUUUAAAUCCAGAACAAUGGAGCCAGCUGAAGGAACAGAUUUCUGACAUUGAUGAUGCAGUAAGAAAACUGUAAAAUUCGAGCCAUAUAAAUAAAACCUGUACUGUUCUAGUUGUUUUAA
rnacentral:sRNA from 1 species